GUCAGAAACAAUACACACUAAAAAAAUCCUAGUAUUUAUUUAAAAUAAUUUCUUUAGAUAUGUCAGUUAUUCGUUAGUACAAGUACCAGCUACGAGGCUUUGUUAAAACAGGAUUAAAAUAGUGUUUUUUUAUUCGUACUGCAAAAAAAUAGGGUAGCAAUUUUAUUACGUAUUGUAUCGGUUUUAGGUUUUUUAGGAACUUUUAAACGAUAGGUACCUGGAAUCUUUUCACGGGUCUUAAAAGCAUAUCUUUUUCAAAUGAACUAAUUAAGUAAUGACGGUAGCGACGGAAAGUGUUAAUGGCGAAAAAUGUAUUUCCUUUAACAUCAUUAAGUUAUGAGCCAUUUAGAUUUGUAUAAAUGGGUGGGAAUAUUAAAAUUAAAAUCACAACGGCUUCGACUACUGCCUUGCUCGGAACUAGUGAAAUAGUAUUGAUCAAAAUGUCGAUAAUAGUUCAGUGUCUUUCCAGAAUUGUGUAUAAUAUUUUGAGAAAAACAAUAGCCGCUCGUGAGCAAAUGAAGAUAAAGAACAAGAGAAUAAAAACGUAUAAUGAAAGAGACGACAAUGUUCGCCGAUGGCUGUGCGACUCUGAGACGGGAAUGUCAGAACUGAAAGCGAGGGAAGAGAAGUGGACUGUACCGGUUGCGCCAGUACUGCAAAGUGGAAUUACGAUGGGACUGAAUUGCGUAAAAUUCGACAGAAACUUUAAAGUUGACAAUAUUCUGUUGGCUAAUUACGUGAUGCCACCGUUUAGCGUUUCUCCGUUAGCACCGAUGAGUUGUUGAAAGCGUAAAACUGAAUCCAUUCUUGGCAGACAAGAACAAUGUUUAGUUUAUAUACGUAUUUCUAAGGAAUCUCUUUACCUGAGAAACGUGUAAUUUAAUUGAAAAGGAAUGUAAAUAAAAUGUAAUCAGUAUUUUACCUUAAAAUUUACAAAUUCUGAGACACUCGUCGGAACCAUCUUCUACGGUAUCAUGUUCUAUUUAAAUCAUAUUUUAUUCCUUGAAAAAUUGUAAUUGUUAUAAAAAUAUUGUCAAUUAAUAAUAAUAAAAAAAUGCUAUGCAGCUUUUUUUGUAAUUCGACGCAUGUUUUCAAUAGAAAUUCUAGAUGAUACGGACAAAGGCUUAGGGGAAAUUUGUAAUAUUUUUAAUUUAAAUAAAAUAAUCUGUUUUGCA